GACGGAGGGUGCAAACGUUGCUCGAAAUCACUGGGCAUAAAGCGCACGUAGGCGGCUAGCUAAGUUGGGUGUGAAAGCCCCCGGCUCAACCGGGGAAUGGCAUCCGAUACUGGCUGGCUCGAGGACGGUAGGGGUGAGUGGAACUCCAGGUGGAGCGGUGAAAUGCGUAGAUAUCUGGAGGAACACCGGUGGCGAAAGCGGCUACCUGGACCGAUACUGACGCUGAGACGCGAAAGCGUGGGGAGCAAACAGG
rnacentral:rRNA from 1 species